rnacentral:lncRNA from 1 species
UCGCCUUCAAAUGCACUUCCAAGGGACCACGCCUGAUCGUCUACCCAAUAUAAGCAAGUUGCAAGAGCCCCUUGCUAUAUAACUUAGCAUUAGUAUAGAUGCCUACCAAGACUUCUAUGUUUAUCAUCCUUUUGGAUCUUAUGCUUAGACUGCCGUGUGGUAUGCUUUUCAAACAGCCAUGAUGAAAGAAACAUAUGUUUUCUCCUUGAAGUGCAUGUCCAAAGGCCUCUGCAGAUCACAAGAAUCCUUUGCUACCUGACUUAGUAUUACUAUCAGUACCUGCCGAUACUUUUAUAUUUGGCAUCAUUUUGGAUCUCAUGUAAAACAUGUAUCAUCAGUAGUCAUCUAUCUAUAAUCAAUCAGUAUUUAUUUCCAUAUGUUUUAUUUCUACGGGUUCCCUUUCCUCACACAUGGAUGCUGACAACGGUGAACUUCCAAUCACAACUGGAGACGGAACAAUCAUUGUCAGGGCCAGCUUUAUAAGGGAGUUGACAAAAGGGCCACUAUCACUAAAGGCUGGAGCGACUUCUUUCGUCGGACCCACAUGAACGAAGGGCAAGCAUAUACUUUCGGCUUCAAAUGCACUUCCAAGGGAUUGUGCCUGAUUGCCUACUCAAUAUAAGCAAGCUGCAGGAGCCCCUUGCUAUAUAACGUAGUAUUAGUAUAAAUGCCUACAAAUACAUCUAUGUUUAUCCUCCUUUUCGAUCUUAUGUAAUCCCGUAAGACAGUGCUGUGCAUUUAGCUAUCGAUUAUCCGCUCCUUAGACUGCUCUAUCGCAUGCUUUUGAAACAACCAUGAUAAAGGAAAUAUAUGCUCCUUCAAGUGCAUAUCCAAAGGCCUCUGCAUGAUUAUUUAUUCAAUCUAAAAAGAUCACAAGGGUCCUUUUCUGCAUGACUUGGUGUAUCAAUUCCAAUCUUAUGUACUUACUCCAUUUAGUAUAUGAGCUAUUCUUUUUGAACAACAAUAUGUUAAUGCACACUCUUACACCAAUUGGCUUACAUUUGGCCUUUGCGCCAUGGGCGCAAUGGGUCAUCUAGUUGUACAAUAUCUCCUUGAAGUUCAUGUCGGACCAACUGGCCCAAUGCUAUCAGCCGAUCGGUUGUGGUUGACAUUGGGUCUCCGCGCGCAUCACCUUUGUUACUUUUUUUUGCGGGCAUUACCUUUGUUACUUGGAGUUGUGCAUCUCCUUUGACUCUGCAUGGGCCCACACGUGGCACAGCCUAGUGACUGCGUACUCUCCCAAAAAUUGAAAAAUUGAAUACCUACCGCACGUUAGCCCAGCUACACGUGGCUGUGGAUGCUUUUAACGAGACCAUUAACGAUUGUAUUCACUAGAUGACUCGUGCACCAAUGGCGCAAAAGCUGAGAGGGAGGCAAGUAUUGUGAGAAUAUUUAGACACCCAAGUUAAAAACCAAAUGUGGCCAACACUCCUGCAUCCUCUGCUUGGAAGCCGCCGUUUCUCACCGGAUCUAACAUAGAUACAUGAUUCUUCAAGAGGAAAUUUUAGAGAAAAUAUAAAGCAUGAAAGGCUUUAAGUUGUACUAUUGAGAUCACACCAUCAUAUCUUCAUUUAGUUUAUUUGGAAAUAUAAAGGUCUAAGAGGAUGGUACGUGUGAGAAGCUGUGAAUCCACAACAAAAAAUUAAACUAACUUCCUAACAAACAUUUCAAGUUUGGAAGCCACAAAUAAGCAGCCCAGAUCUCUCGUUGUAGUGCAGGUACAUGUCCUUAAUCCUGCAUCCACAACCCAUAAUUUUUUAACACCUAAAUCCACGAAAUACAACCAAAGGAAAUCAUGGCAGAAACAUGCGCCGUGGCUUACGUCUCCGAGAAGGACUUCUUGGCAUUCUUGUGUAGGUUGACACAGCAAUCCUCGCUGCAAGCUGCAGAAGAACCACACAGGCACCUUCCUUCACCUUGCCCUUGGGGAGGAGGGGGGAACACUUGCAGCGCCGCGACAAGGCUUGCUCCGAGUGUAAUCAUCAGCAUUCUUAGAUACCUAAACAAACAACCAAAAAAGAACAGGCUAUGAGCAAUCAAAAAAGAGGAAUUAUACAGCCUCAAAAAUAUAUACGCAUGAAAUAAUAUUAUUCAUUUGACAAUUAGUCCCAAACAGAGAUGACCCAGUCACUUCUCUAGGAGUGCCCAUACAAUCUGAGUUUAAAUUUCAACACUACUUUUCCAGCCCAUAUAGCACACAGUAUUUAUGUAUGCGUCUCGGAAAGGAAAGAAGCUUAAAUCCCAGUCCCAAUACAGCCAAAACUACAUCGAGAUACAUUUCGUCAACGAAUCACAGAAGUGCAAGGCUAACAUUAAAUUAUAAAGACAAUAUCCCUCCUUCCCCACCAAAAUGUGGCCACAUUUAGGCUUUGUCAUCCCUUAACUAAAUUUCAAACCUUUUGAAGAUCACAACCAAAUUUACUUUCUUAGAAACACCACCAUGUAAAACACAGUAAGCAUUCUAAUACAAAGGUGUGCUCUUACAUUGAUAUGCCCAGGAUUAGAUCUCCUUAAACCUUACUAUACAAUGAUACAUCUCUGGGAUAUGAAACGGACAAUCCUACUGAACAUAAUCAUGUUUGUGGAAAAGAUAAAGGAUUAAUGCUAACUAAUGCAUGAUGUUUAUUAAACAAUUAGCACCUGAAUGCAAACCUAAGGGCCUCUGCGUAGCAUGAUAAGGAAUAAGGAUAUUAAAUGUUCAAUCUGAUUCUUUUGCUAUAAAUAAUGCCUCAAAGUAAUACUAUAAGAAAGGAACAAAAUAGGAAGAGAUGGGGUACCAUGCUCUCACCUACAAUAAUUUCCUUCCAUCUAUGGGUUUUCCCUAGUACUGAUCAAACCAUCUUUAAAUAGCAGUGCUGAACGCCAAUUUUUGUUCAACACGCCAAGAGGAACCCAACAAAUACACCUGGAAGCAAUAAAUAUGGAUUAAAAGUUCACCCAUCUAAGUAGGUAUUCAACCAAAAUCAGAAAAAAAAAA